ensembl:lncRNA
UCCGGAGCAAGAAUUGACAAAAGACUUUAUCGUGAAGAAAAACAACAACGAUAACAGCCGAGUCCCCCCACAACAAAAACAUAACAGUCAUUUAGGUCAUAUUUUGCACUACAUUUGAUCAUCAUUAAAAACCUUUAAACAUGUUCAGGAAUCUCAACCUGAUUAAGGCAAAAAAGAUCUAUCAAAUGUCUAACAUGUCUAACUAGAAUUCACACAUAACACAGUAUUUUCAGCAUGCAUUGAAAAUUAGCAUUUCAGAAUAUAUGACAUAAAAAUAUGAAACUCAAAAAAUGACAUUUCAAAAAAUAAGUAAAUAAUAGAAAUUAAAAACUAAGAUUGUCAACAAGCUUGCAUAGAUUUGAAUAGCUCUGAUUAUCGUCAUGUACCGGUAUACUAUAUAACGUGGGGGGUUUGGGCAUCGUAGUUGCUGCCGUUCGCAGCCACCAUGCCCUGGAACCCAUUAGUCCAAUGUCCAUUUGUUCACACUGUCUGAAAUGGUUGUGGUUCCCAUUGGAGAGGUCACCAGUUAAGAGAAUAUGACCUCCUUCUGAUGUCCGAUUCUCACAUUCCGGUCUCCUUUCUAGUGUCACUCCAAUCUAUCUCCCCAUAGAGCAUCCUCUCCCAGUCACCCGACUUCUCUAUGCCAGACUGGCUGAAGGUUAAUGCACAUAACGGUUGGUUAUCCGACAUAACAGUAAACACAAAUUCAUUAACUUGGUCUCGCGGUGGUAUCUGAGCAUAUAAGACUAUUUUCCCUUUCUUGUUGACUAUUCCUGAGUGAGUUGGGGCCGGAUUGUCCUGUGUUUCUCUUAGGCUUCCUUCAGUACCAGCCCCUGAUUCCUGGCUCUUCCAGGUCUGAGUUGUCUCCGUGGUUUCAUCCUUCCUCGGGGUCUAUGCUUGUGCCAGCGAAAUCUGGCACAACCCGUAAAGGAUCAGAAACAGGCUCCCCGUUUUCAGCAUCAUCAUGCUGUUGUAUCUCUUGGCUCGACUGGAUCUGGUCCUGGGGCAGCUGGUCAGCCCCACGUGUGUCUGCGUCUGGCUCCUCCUCCUCACACUCAUCCCUGGCUUUAGGUUGAGCGGCUUUUGUGCAGUGGUUGAGAUGAUACCACGUGGCACUUCCUUCCACUUGGAUGGCUGUUGGUGUUGCGUUGGCGACUUUGUAUGGUCAUUCUCUUCUGGGCUCGUCCCACUUUCUCCUGAAUAUCCUGAGGUACACUUGGUCACCUGGCUCCACCCCCCUUGGUGGCUCCUUCUCCAACUUUGGAACUCUGUCUUUCUCUUGUUGAAAAAUAAGCCUGUGUAUGCCAGUUAGUUGUCCCAUAUAACGUCUUAAUUCAGUUUCCAAUUGUUCUAAUGGAGGUCCUUUAUGAGGCCCUCGAAUGACAGGUGAAGGCAUGGGUCGACCCGUAAACAUUUCAUGCGGGGUUAGAUGCGUCGUUCUGUUAGUUUUUGCGAUAACUCAUUAGUGUCAGUCGUAAUGCAUUAGUCCUUUAAUUUAGUACUCUAAUUUAAUUUUGUUAAUCUUUGUCUUAAGCGUCC